rnacentral:lncRNA from 1 species
GUACAUUAGGAUGGUACUCACCGCCUGCAUCUGUAGCGGUUUCCAAUCCCGCACCUCCACGGUGGUCGGCUUCUCAUCGCACAAGAGAGCAUCGAUCAACCCCUGUUGGAUGAGCACGUACAUCCUUCACCCUUUCCUGCCACAAGGAGAAAUUGCUCUUACCAUCGAACUUGUUGAUCUCCAUCUUGAUUGUUCCUGUUUUCUCCAUCUUCAGUCUUGCUCACCACCACUGCAAUCUGCGUUCCUGUACCGCCUUGCUCUGAUACCACUUGUUGGGUGGAUGUCUGGCCAAGACACCACCUCCAAAGAUCCUUUCAGUACCACGCGAUGCAGCAGGAAGAAAGAAGAAACAAAAUAAAAGAAAAAAUAAUCAAAAUACGUGGAUCAGCCACAAAAGGGCUCGCCUCCACGGGGCAUGCAAACUUCACUAUGAAAAAGAAAUUUUACAAGAGGAGACCUCAUCCUCAAC